GCCACCAAGCAACGAGCGGCAGGCGCAUCACCGGCCCGUCCCAUGACGUAGACACAUAAUCUUCGGACCAGUGCACCGUCGGGGCGGAGCAUGAGCGUACAUGUUGAGACCCGAAAGAUGGUGAACUAUGCUUGCGCAGGUUGAAGCCAGAGGAAACUCUGGUGGAGGACCGCAGCGAUUCUGACGUGCAAAUCGAUCGUCAAACGUGAGUAUAGGGGCGAAAG
rnacentral:rRNA from 1 species